rnacentral:rRNA from 1 species
UACGGAGGGUGCAAGCGUUGUCCGGAUUUACUGGGCGUAAAGCGUGCGUAGGUGGUGGUUUAAGUCCGUUGUGAAAGCCCUGGGCUCAACCUGGGAAUUGCAGUGGAUACUGGGUCACUAGAGUGUGGUAGAGGGUAGCGGAAUUCCCGGUGUAGCAGUGAAAUGCGUAGAGAUCGGGAGGAACAUCUGUGGCGAAGGCGGCUACCUGGACCAACACUGACACUGAGGCACGAAAGCGUGGGGAGCAAACAGG